UUGGUGGGACAGGUCCCACCGUGCUGUGCUCCUCCUGCAGCCAGCAGUGCAGGCACCGCAUCGCCUACAGCAAGGGGCGUGGAGGGGCAGGCAGCGCAGGGCGCUGUAAUCCUGUCUUUUAAUGGGUCCUGUCUCAUUUGCCAGUGAACGGAGCAGAAACUUUCCUGCUGGUUCAGGGGACCCAUUCAGAAGAGAAAUUACAAAGGGCAAUAAACCCGCACCUUGGACUUCUGCUAACUGCUUCUUCCUUGCUCCUGCGCCAUGGUGCAGUUAUUGCCUAAAGCCUCUGCAAACACGAGAAAGGGAACGUACAUUGCAGCCAGCUCUCUGAGCUCACACAGCCCUUACAGCUCGCUGGAUCUCCAUUUCCCCCUGAUUUAAGGUGGCCAAAGAUUACAGGCAAAAGGGUUUUGAGUCUGAAAUCUCUACCUACGUGAUUCUAAGAUUUCUCCCAUGGGGUGAUUUCUGUCCUACUGUGUGCAGACUUAACCCACGAGGUGACAUAAAAUAAAUGGACCCUUUCCUGGUAGCAUUGAAAUCAGCUUCACGAUGCAGCCUGCUUCCAACCUGAAGUGGUCCUGGAGAACCCCAGCUCCUUCCCUGGGAGCCUGCAAACGAUGGCCAGAACUUGCAUCUCCCAGCUUUGGAUGAAACUCUUCCAGAAAAAAUGAACCAGAAUCAAAAUCCAAAACUCAGCCUCAUGUCCACUUUCCUCUCAUUUGGCUCCCUUGCAUGAGUAGGUGGGAAAGGGAGGCUUUCAGAUACACUUUUCAUUUUGCUCUUUCCUGCCAGAGGUGCUUCCAUCCUCCCUGGGGAGGUCGCAGCCCUGGAAGGCACCCUCACCUCUCCAGCCCCACGUAGGGAAUGGGCUGUAGGUUCGGCGCUGGGAACCGGAGUGCCGCCAAGCCCCACCUGCGUGCGUGUCCCGUCGGUGUCAGGGAGCCGUGCCAGCAGCAGCACCAGCGCCGUGCGACACCCUUGUAUUUAACCGCGGAAUUAGCAUGGCACCGAGAUGACGGGUUAUUGCCCUCCGGCUCUCUCCCCACGCGGUGCGUCAGCCCAGCCUCCGACCGCAAAGACAGAGGCUGGGGGCGAAGAGUAAUUCCUUCCUCAUGUGGGUUACAUUUCGCUGCCUUUCUGUGGAGGCUUCCAGAAGGGAAAUCAAGCUGUAAAGGGGACACCCAUCCACAAGGAGAGCCCCACGCCGGCAGCGUUUGGCAGGGGCUGGUGAGCAACCACCAUCUGUUGAGCUGCCAUCCAUUUGCCUCGAAGUGAGAGCACCCAUUCAUAUUCAUCUAACCAGUCUCUUAUGCUAAUCUCUGUCUACCUCCUUUCUUAUCUUCUACUCAUAUACAAAAUCGGAGAACCCAGGCCUUUUUGAAUGAGCACAGAUUCCUGUUACACAGCUAGGGAAAUACUGGGUUGAAUCCUGACAGUAGGGAAAGAAAACCACACCAAAAACCCAAAUCAAGUGGAGAUUAACUUUUGGAAUCACUCAGGUCCAUGUAUCUGCCCUGAUCAAACAGCGAUUUGUCUGUCUGAUAGGAGUUUAGAUAAAGUUUUCAGCAAUUUGCAGUAAUUAUAUGUGAAAGGGGAAGAAGCAGAGGGUUUCCAGGCAACAUGCUGCAGAAGGGGAGUUUUGGAGGAAGGCAGAGAACCCCUCGUUAAACAUCUGCCACCCUGCAUGGAAGGUAGUGGUGAUUUCCCUGCUCUGAAGGAGUUCCUCCCUCCUUUUCGCUCCCUUCAUUCUUCUCGUGCUGCUGCUCAAGUCAGCCAAGGGAAAGAGAAAAUCCCUGGAGAGCAGGAAAAUACUUUCCAAAACAAGUUCUUGCCUCUGAUUACAAGUGGCAGGUAUUAAAAAAAAAAAAAAAGAUCCCAAGGAAAGUGCCUAUCACCUCCCCCGUAAGGACUUUGCUCCCAUGUCACAAUUAUGCAAGCUAGAGCACAGUGCAAUGCUCAGUAUAUUCAAGAUAGUUGUCAAGACCAAAGUAUAAACAUUUCCAGCAAAUGCACUUAAUAGAAGUUUGUUUGCCAAGUGCUGCAGCCUCCUUUCUUGGUUAUGACAAGGAAAAGGCCUUUUUCAUUAAGUGGGGAAAAGUACUGCUCCCCUUCAAUUAAAAAUAAAAUAAAAUCCUAGGCCUUUGAAAGUAAA